rnacentral:rRNA from 1 species
CGUGUGCAGCGGUGCCCUUCCAUCCUUCUGUUAACGUUUCUGAUAUUCAUUUAUUGGUCUCGGGCUCAGAUAUUUUACCUUGAGAAAAUUAGAGUGUUCCAGGCAGGCUUGCGCCGGAAUACAUUAGCAUGGAAUAAUAGAAUAGGACUUUAGUCUCCUUUGUUGGUUUGAGGGACUGAAGUAAUGAUUAAUAGGGAUAGUUGGGGGCAUUAGUAUUUAAUUGUCAGAGGUGAAAUUCUCGGAUUUGUUAAAGACUAACUUAUGCGAAAGCAUUUGCCAAGGAUGUUUUCAUUAAUCAAGAACGAAAGUUAGGGGAUCAAAGACGAUCAGAUACCGUCCUAGUCUUAACCAUAAACUAUGCCGACUAGGGAUCGGAGGCGCGCCUUAUCCGCCUUCGGCACCUUAUGAGAAAUCAAAGUCUUUGGGUUCUGGGGGGAGUAUGGUCGCAAGGCUGAAACUUAAAGGAAUUGACGGAAGGGCACCACCAGGAGUGGAGCUUGCGGCUCAACUUGACUCAACACGGGAAAACUCACCAGGUCCGGACAUGGGAAGGAUUGACAGAUUGAGAGCUCUUUCUUGAUUCUAUGGGUGGUGGUGGGCUAGAACGCCAUGUGCCACUGUGGGGCUGCCAAGUUCGUUAAUUCGUGUUGCCACCCUUAAGAUGCAACAUUGGAGAACUGGGUAAACGGCCCUGCAAGUCCACAGAGUGUGGGCAACACCGUCAAAUUG